rnacentral:rRNA from 1 species
UAGGGAAUAUUGCACAAUGGGCGAAAGCCUGAUGCAGCAACGCCGCGUGCGCGAAGAAGGCCUUCGGGUUGUAAAGCGCUUUUCUGGGAGAUGAGGAAGGACAGUAUCCCAGGAAUAAGGCUCGGCUAACUACGUGCCAGCAGCCGCGGUAAAACGUAGGAGCCAAGCGUUAUCCGAAUUCACUGGGCGUAAAGCGCGUGCAGGCGGCCUGGUAAGUUGGAUGUGAAAUCUCCUGGCUCAACUGGGAGAGGCCGUUCAAUACUGUCAGGCUAGGGGGCGACGAGAGGGAGGUGGAAUUCCGGGUGUAGUGGUGAAAUGCGUAGAUAUCCGGAGGAACACCAGAGGCGAAGGCGACCUCCGUGGUCGCACCUGCGCUCAGACGCGAAAGCUAGGGGAGCGA